GACGAACGCUGGCGGCGUGCUUAACACAUGCAAGUCGAACGCAGUGGCGAACGGGUGAGUAAUGCGUGGGUAACCUGCCCUACUUUUUGGGAUAAGCCUUGGAAACGAGGUCUAAUACCGUAUAAAGGGGGAUGGGCUCGCGGCCUGUCGGCUUGUUGGUGGGGUGAUGGGCUAGCUAGGCGGUGACGGGUAGCCGGCCUGAGAGGGGACACGGCCACAGUGGGACUGCGCUGAGGCCUAGACGACGACGCGGGGGAGAAGUGGGGGAUAUGGCACAAUGGCCGAAAGAGUGAUGCCGCGACGCUGCGUGGGGGAUGCAGGCUUUCGGGUUCUAAACCUCGUGCGCUAUCGAGCGGGUAGCUGGAGAAGAAGCGCCGGCUAACUACGUGCCAGCCGCCGCGGUAAUUC
rnacentral:rRNA from 1 species